ACAACAGGAGACUUCUAUUCAUCUGCAAAAUCGGAAAAAGUCCAUUUCCAACGAUUCUUAAAGUUUUCAUCGAAUUUCAUACAUAAAAGAUGAAGCGGAUGAACGAGAGAGUUUAACCGUAUUGGAAUGACCUCGACUCGAAUGGAAAUGAACAACAACACAUUAACAAAUAUUACAGGGAAAUACGCCGCUGCGUGGUGGGAUCAAAGAUUAUGCAAGUGAUGCGACGGCUGAAGCGCAGACGAAGGAGUUGUUUUUUUUUUGUGUGUGCUAGAAUGCAGUUUGGCAGGAUUUGACGGAGACGAAGCGAAGUUGAAAUUUGGUCAAGUUGUGGUGGUAAAAAGUGUUGGGGAAGAAGGA